GAAAUAGUUUGUGGAAAGGAUGACAAAAUGUAAUUUGAGUUUGUGUGCUACCCAAAGCCAAUGGAAAGGUGAAGUAAAGGAAGGACUCCAAGCAUAGAGCCAGAGAGCUGACAAAGAACCAGAGUUUAUUCAUUCUACCUUGCAUGGAACCACUGGGAAUACUGCCACAGACUCCCCUGGAUGGGGUACUAGUCCAUUGAAAAUAACAUCCUCCCCCUCUUCCUCCCUGCAUUUAUGAGGCUUCUCUGACUGUUCAGCUGUACCUGUUUAGACUCCUUGGUGGAGAGAGGCAUGGGGGGAGUAAGCACAACACAAUACCCUAGGUGCAUCCUGACCUUGGCCCUCUCACACUGGAAUCAAGGAUACUAACUGUAAGAUAGGCCAACACUUCUCUUUAUAAGGAAUAUGGCCUAUUUGUUGGUGCACUUAAAUACAAGAUGGAGAGGUCAGAACAAGAGCACAGGGCCACUCAUUAGGUUGAGUUUUCGGGCAAAACACUCAACUCCUCGAGUGCCUCUGUAGUCCUUGGAGUAGAAGUGAACAAUGACCCUAGAAAAUGAUCAUAGAAACAUAAUGGAAAGUGGGGAAUGACCUGUAAAUGAACUAACAUCAGAAAAAUUCAAAUAACUGAAAGAUUGUUUACCUCCUCGGGAUUAUUUUUACAUGUUACAUAAAUCAAGAGAGUGGGUCACUCUACUUAGGAGACAGUGCUAAAAUGAUACUUGCUUAAAAUAACUUGAAUCUAUGGUAAAAUUUAGAUACAGUUUUUACAAUGAAGUUGAAUUUACUUGUUUCAAUGGUUGUUGUUGCAACAAUCAGAGAGUUCAGUUAGUUGAACUCUGAUGUACUUUUAAGGAAAGUUUGUCCACAAGUAAGGCUGUCUCCUUGAAAGAGUUUUUCACUUUGAAAGUAAGUUAUUUAUUAUUUCAAGAAACUUUUAACUAGAGUACUACAAGUACAAGCAUCAGUUGGAAUACCAAAAUGUUUACAUGACUGUGAAAAUGAUAUAGCACCACUCAUAAAGGCACGGGGAAGUUUAAUUGAUAAAAUUGUAGAGAUCUACCAGUUGAAACUCAUUCUCUUAAUGGAUAUGAUUGAUAUAAAUUUGUGAAUAUACUUUUAUAAAUAGCCUCUUAAUUCUUUUGCUUGGGCCAGACCAGGUCAUUCAUGUUUGAAGUUAAUGUUCUAUUUCUUUAUAGAUAGCAAAAUCACGUUGAUUUAUCUUAGCUAGUUUUUUUACAACACAGAGUUUAGGCAAUAUUUACUGUGGAUGAACACUGAUAUCAAUGUUGUUUUGUUUGCAACAAGGGAUGUUUUUAAAUU